CAGCACCUCAAGUGGUCAGGAUGAUUAUUGGGCCUAAAGCAUCCGUAGCCUGCUUUGUCAGUUUUCGGUUAAAUCCAUACGCUCAACGUAUGGGCUGCCGGGAAUACUGCAAAGCUAGGGAGUGGGAGAGGUAGACGGUACUCGGUAGGAAGGGGUAAAAUCCUUUGAUCUAUUGAUGACCACCUGUGGCGAAGGCGGUCUACCAGAACAUGUCCAACGGUGAAAAAUGAAAGCUGGGGGAGCAAACCGGAUUAGAUACCCGGGUAGUCCCAGCUGUAAACUAUGCAAACUCGGUGAUGCAUUGGCUUGAUGCCAAUGCAGUGCCGCAGGGGAAGCCGUUAAGUUUGCCGCCUGGAAGUACGUACGCAAGUAUG
rnacentral:rRNA from 1 species